rnacentral:misc_RNA from 1 species
GAUGAAGAACGUAGCGAAAUGCGAUAAGUAAUGCGAAUUGCAGAAUUCAGUGAGUCAUCGAAUCUUUGAACGCACAUUGCGCCCCUUGGUAUUCCGAGGGGCAUGCCUGUUCGAGCGUCAUUAUAACCCCUCAAGCUCAGCUUGGUGUUGGGGCCUGCUGCACUGGCAGCCCUUAAAAUCAGUGGCGGCGCCAUCUGGCUCUAAGCGUAAUAAUUCUUCUCGCUAUGGAGUCCUGGUGGAUGCUUGCCAUCAACCCCCAAUUUUUCUAUGGUUGACCUCGGAUCAGGUAGGGAUACCCGCUGAACUUAAGCAUAUCAAUAAGCGGAGGA